AAGUGGAUGGGUGAUUGGACUAUACUAGCGAUCGAUUAGUUGCGAGCUGAGGAUUAGGCUCGAGAUAGAGAUGGAAUUAGUGGGCUGACUCUCUGGGUAGUAAAAGUAAGUGAUGGUGAGAGUCAAGUCAGGACGGUGUUUGAGAGUUUCGGACGGUGUUCCGUUGAAUCGAAUAGUGGUAAUAGCGUUCCUAUUGUGGAAGUUGUUGAGCGAUCGCCAAAUUCAGGCGAGUGGUCGAAUGGCACCUCAUUGAUGGUGAGGGAAUCCAUGUUUAUGUACUGUGGGCGUGGGCUAAGUAGCUUAGCGCGUGAGGUUAGUGAGAAGCGUGAUAGUGUAGGACGCUUGAGUAUAGGUGUCCGCAAGGUGUGGAUUGUGGCUCAGCCGGGAGAGUGUGUUGGCAGUAG
rnacentral:lncRNA from 1 species